GGUUGGACACCUUUACGCCUCGAACACACCGACUGUGUCCUUGGCGUUUCGUUUCACCAGAGGUACAGUCAUUUCCAAUGGAACACUGCAUUUGAAUUGCAGCAUUGCGUUGCAGAGGCAGUUGCAGUACGUUCUGUGUGGUGCAUACGUUCGAUUUAUCGAACGUAUGCAUCAAAUUGUAUGCGUAGAUUUGACAGAAAGUAGCAAAUUAUGAAUGUAGAUUUUUUUUCAACACAUAUUCAGUAAAAAUGUGCGAUUACAUAAAAAGUUUGAUUGCACAAUUUCUUCACAUUUCUUAAUUUAUUUACCAAGUAUAUUUAUUCGAUGACAUCCACAAAUUAAUUGUGAGAGCCUAUAAUAUAAUUUCCCUCAGAUGCAGUUUUCGAGCAAAAUGCAAUAAUAAAUAGUCAAGAUAGCAGAGUUGGCUCUUUCAACAAUGAGACCAACGUUGAGGAAGGUAGUCUUGAUCGCACUGUUGGUCUGUGUGGAUCCAGAGAUGGUUAAAGUCCCGAAAGCAGGCAGGGGAAUUCCACUGUCUAAUUCAAGAGCUUCGACUGUUUUGAGAGUAAUUCCGAAAUUACUUUCGUCUGGACCGAAGCCAGUUCGAUCACCUGCUCCAGAUGGUUGGAGCCAGGAUCGCCCGGAUGGAUAACAACUACCGGGAGUCCAUCAGCCCAGUUGAACGCCUGCCGACUUGUCUCCGAUUCUUGGCGACAGGGGACUCCUACAGGACCAUAGGAUUCAGCUUCUGAGUUGGACGGUCCACGGUGACCCUCCGAGACUCUGCCUCUGGCCAGGCACUUCAGGAUGGCACCCUGGAUAUUCCACUACCUGCAUCACUCCCUGGGGCUGAAGACCUGGGACCUGUUCCCCACGUCUUCGUCGGCGAUGAGGCCUUCCCUUUAAGACCCAACCUCAUGAGGCCCUAUGCUGGAUGUUUUUACUUUCAUCUUGUCUUAGAUCAGCAAAGGUGUAGGGAAGAAAUAAGCAGAUUAAGUCUAAAUUAAAUAUUAAUAAACAACAAACAACUGACUAUGAAAACAUUAUAAUUUAAUAAGUAUUCAUGUACAGGAAAGAACAUAUGUGUGUUGUAAAAAUGUUUUUAAAAAUAACACUAUUGAAAGAGG